UACGGAGGGGGCUAGCGUUGUUCGGAAUUACUGGGCGUAAAGCGCACGUAGGCGGCUUUGUAAGUUAGAGGUGAAAGCCCGGGGCUCAACUCCGGAAUUGCCUUUAAGACUGCAUCGCUAGAACGUCGGAGAGGUGAGUGGAAUUCCGAGUGUAGAGGUGAAAUUCGUAGAUAUUCGGAAGAACACCAGUGGCGAAGGCGACUCACUGGACGACUGUUGACGCUGAGGUGCGAAAGCGUGGGGAGCAAACAGGAUUAGAAACCCUCGUAGUCC
rnacentral:rRNA from 1 species